UGGGGUUGUAGCUAAGUGGUAGAGUACUUGUUUAGCAUGUAUGAGGCCCUGGUUUCGAUCCUCAGCACCACAA
rnacentral:tRNA from 1 species